rnacentral:lncRNA from 1 species
GCAAGAAAUACUCCUUUAUUUUUCGAUAACUAAUUUGUUUUGAUUACAGGGCCUCCAGGUGUUCCCACUAGACCUCUGGGUUAGGUGGGCCUGGGACCCACGGUGGAGGGGGCGGCUGUGUUUCAGCUGCCAGGCCUUGGUGUGACGCGUGGAGCCCCUCCUCCUGGAAGCUCCCAAGUUUUCUUUUAUUAUUAUUUUUUUUUAGAUUUAUUUAUUUAUUCAUGAGACACAGAGAGAGAGAGAGAGGCAGAGACACAGGCAGAGGGAGAAGCAGGCUCCCCGCGGGGUGCCCGGUGCGGGACUCGAUCCUGGAUCCCGGGAUCACGCCCUGAGCCGAAGGCAGGCGCCCAAACGCUGAGCCACCCAGGCGCCCCGGCUCCCAGGUUUUCAAACAGGCUUUCUUUUCUUUCUUUUUUUUUUUUUUGUAUAUUUUUGUAUUGAUUUUUUUUUUUUUUAUUGGAGUUUGCUUUGCCAACAUCUAGUAUCACACGGAGGGCUCCUCCCGUCCAGUGCCCCCCGCAGUGCCCGUCCCCCGUCCCCGCCGCCCUUCCCCUUGUUCAUCUCCCAGCUUAGGAGUCUCGGGGUCUCACACAGGCUUUGGGGGGCGGGGGGCAGCGGCCGGGCUGCGAGAGGCGCGGGGACCCGGAGCUCCGCGGCCGGGGAGCAGCGCACGCGCACGCGCAGGCUGCGAGCGGCUCCCGCCGGCUCCUCCCGCGGCGGUCGGUCCGGGGACGUUCUCCCCGCCGCGGGGGCGACUGUGACCCCCGGCGGAGGCCCGGGCGGGCCGGGUCCCGAUCGGUGCUGGCGGACGUCACCCUGCCAGGUUCGGUGGUUCUGCAGGAUUGUGAGCAUCGAGUUGUUGUUUGGUCCCUGCACAGUGAAGUAG